AUUACUUUAAUGUUGGCAUUUCUACCUGCUCCUUAAUUUGCUAUUUGCAGAACAUUGGAAAUUUCCAUUCUACUCCUCUGUUCCUCUACACUAUAGCCUGUAGGCACCCAGAUUCCCUCACCUCUGCUCAUGUGGCCGCCUUCUGCAGAAGAGUUUGAGAACAGGUCCUGAAUGAUACUGGAACCACUUUUCAGCUGGAGUAAACAGGAUGCUGCCACCGAAUUCAGAUUAUUUUUUACAAAAAUGUGAAAAUAUGAAAAAUAUGUCAAAUGUAGAUUCCCAAGACAGAAAAGGUGAAGUUCAGGUUUAAAGGACACUGCAGGAGUUACCAGCCCACUAGCAUCAUUUACUGAGAAGAAAACCAAGGAAGAGCC